GCCAGGAAGGAGGAGGCAGCCAGAGUGUUCUCUGCAGCAGAAGACCCUUUGCUGCCCUGCUCAACCCAGACCAGCAUUUGCCAGUGCCUCUCCCUUUUCAGAAAAAGUAGCUUAAAACCAGCAUUUUAAAACCCGGAAAUACCUCGAGAUAAACUAGAAUUCGCAAGACAAAGCCUGAUUUAUGUGAGGAGUGGGUCCAAGGAUCUCGAAGGGACUUCAGGCAUUCAGGCAGCAAGACUUUGAAUGGCUCAUCAGAGAAAGAUCACUGUGAACAUGACCAUGUUUGACAGGAGUACCACUGGAGAUAUCGUGUUGACCAUAUUAGGACAUCUGGAAGAGGAUCAAAUUGUCAUGAUUCAAGAUGGAUUGUGGAGGUGCAAUAAACAGAUAAAAUGGUAUCUCUGGAUCUGCCAGCUAGCUUUUCGCAAAGGCCCUCAGAGCACCAACUGUUUCA